rnacentral:rRNA from 1 species
UACGGGGGGGGGCAAGCGUUGUUCGGAAUUACUGGGCGUAAAGGGCUCGUAGGCGGCCAACUAAGUCAGACGUGAAAUCCCUCGGCUUAACCGGGGGAACUGCGUCUGAUACUGGAUGGCUUGAGUUUGGGAGAGGGAUGCGGAAUUCCAGGUGUAGCGGUGAAAUGCGUAGAUAUCUGGAGGAACACCGGUGGCGAAGGCGGCAUCCUGGACCAACACUGACGCUGAGUGAGCGAAAGCCAGGGGAGCAAACGGG